GUAGGUAUAGCUGCGUGGUAGAGGGCGUGCUUAGCAUUCACGAGGUCCUGGGUGCAAUCCCCAGUGCCUCCA
rnacentral:tRNA from 1 species